UACGUAGGGGGCAAGCGUUGUCCGGAUUUAUUGGGCGUAAAGAGCGUGUAGGCGGUCAGGUAGGUCCGUUGUGAAAACUCGAGGCUCAACCUCGAGACGCCGAUGGAAACCAUCUGACUAGAGUCCGGAAGAGGAGAGUGGAAUUCCCGGUGUAGCGGUGAAAUGUGUAGAUAUCGGGAGGAACACCUGUGGCGAAAGCGGCUCACUGGACCAUAACUGACGCUGAUGCACGAAAGCUGGGGGAGCAAACAGG
rnacentral:rRNA from 1 species